rnacentral:rRNA from 1 species
AUUGAACGCUGGCGGCAGGCUUAACACAUGCAAGUCGAGCGGAGAGAGGUAGCUUGCUACUGAUCUUAGCGGCGGACGGGUGAGUAAUGCUUAGGAAUCUGCCUAUUAGUGGGGGACAACAUUUCGAAAGGAAUGCUAAUACCGCAUACGUCCUACGGGAGAAAGCAGGGGAUCUUCGGACCUUGCGCUAAUAGAUGAGCCUAAGUCGGAUUAGCUAGUUGGUGGGGUAAAGGCCUACCAAGGCGACGAUCUGUAGCGGGUCUGAGAGGAUGAUCCGCCACACUGGGACUGAGACACGGCCCAGACUCCUACGGGAGGCAGCAGUGGGGAAUAUUGGACAAUGGGCGGAAGCCUGAUCCAGCCAUGCCGCGUGUGUGAAGAAGGCCUUAUGGUUGCAAAGCACUUUAAGCGAGGAGGAGGCUACUUUAGUUAAUACCUAGAGAUAGUGGACGUUACUCGCAGAAUAAGCACCGGCUAACUCUGUGCCAGCCGCCGCAGUAA